ACGCGGUUAUCUCGCAAGGGAUGACUGAGUGGCGAACGGGUGAGUAACACGUGGGUGACCUACCUUCGAGUGGGGGAUAACGUCCCGAAAGGGACGCUAAUACCGCAUGACAUCCUGCUUUUGAACAGGCGGAGAUCAAAGCCGGGGAUCGCAAGACCUGGCGCUUGAAGAGGGGCCCGCGUCCGAUUAGCUAGUUGGUGAGGUAACGGCUCACCAAGGCGACGAUCGGUAUCCGGCCUGAGAGGGCGGACGGACACACUGGGACUGAGACACGGCCCAGACUCCUACGGGAGGCAGCAGUGGGGAAUUGUUCGCAAUGGGCGCAAGCCUGACGACGCAACGCCGCGUGGAGGAUGAAGGUCUUCGGAUUGUAAACUCCUGUUGCCAGGGACGAAUAGCUCCGACCCAAUACGUCGGAGUGUGACGGUACCUGGUGAGGAAGCCCCGGCUAACUCUGUGCCAGCAGCCGCG
rnacentral:rRNA from 1 species